rnacentral:rRNA from 1 species
AGCGAACGCUGGCGGCAGGCCUAACACAUGCAAGUCGAACGAAGUCUUCGGACUUAGUGGCGGACGGGUGAGUAACACGUGGGAACGUGCCUUUAGGUUCGGAAUAACUCAGGGAAACUUGUGCUAAUACCGAAUGUGCCCUUCGGGGGAAAGAUUUAUCGCCUUUAGAGCGGCCCGCGUCUGAUUAGCUAGUUGGUGAGGUAAAGGCUCACCAAGGCUACGAUCAGUAGCUGGUCUGAGAGGAUGACCAGCCACAUUGGGACUGAGACACGGCCCAAACUCCUACGGGAGGCAGCAGUGGGGAAUCUUGCGCAAUGGGCGAAAGCCUGACGCAGCCAUGCCGCGUGGAUGAUGAAGGUCUUAGGAUUGUAAAAUCCUUUCACCGGUGAAGAUAAUGACUGUACCGGAAGAAUAAGCCCCGGCUAACUUCGUGCCAGCCGCCGCCGUAACAC